rfam:Micromonospora rhizosphaerae strain DSM 45431 genome assembly, contig: Ga0070624_12
GAAACGUCAACCCGGCACCGCCAAAGCGGGCAAGACCGGGACCGUCCCACCGCAAGGUAGGACAUCC